GUGCUUAACACAUGCAAGUCGAACGAUGAAACCUUAGCUUGCUAAGGUGGAUUAGUGGCGCACGGGUGAGUAAUAUAUAGAUAACGUGCCUCUUAGUCUGGGAUAGCCAUUGGAAACGAUGAUUAAUACCGGAUACUCCUUCUCAUUAUAAUUUGAGUUGGGAAAGUUUUUCGCUAAGAGAUCGGUCUAUAUCCCAUCAGCUUGUUGGUAGUGUAAGAGACUACCAAGGCAAUGACGGGUAGCGGGUUUGAGAGGAUGAUCCGCCACACUGGUACUGAGACACGGACCAGACUCCUACGGGAGGCAGCAGUGAGGAAUAUUGCACAAUGGAGGAAACUCUGAUGCAGCAACGCCGCGUGGAGGAUGACGCAUUUCGGUGUGUAAACUCCUUUUAUAGGUCAAGAAAAUGACGGUAGCCUAUGAAUAAGCACCGGCUAACUCCGUGCCAGCAGCCGCGGUAAUACGGAGGGUGCAAGCGUUAUUCGGAAUCACUGGGCGUAAAGGACACGUAGGCGGGAAGCCAAGUCUGAUGUGAAAUCCUAUGGCUUAACCAUAGAACUGCAUUGGAAACUGGUUACCUAGAGUAUGGGAGGGGGAGAUGGAAUUAGUGGUGUAGGGGUAAAAUCCGUAGAUAUCACUAGGAAUACCUAAAGCGAAGGCGAUCUCCUGGAACAUUACUGACGCUAAGGUGUGAAAGCGUGGGGAGCAAACGGGAUUAGAUACCCCGGUAGUCCACGCCCUAAACGAUGUUCACUAGUCGUCGGGAUGCUAGUCAUCUCGGUGAUGCACUUAACAGAUUAAGUGAACCGCCUGGGGAGUACG
rnacentral:rRNA from 1 species